GACGUAGGGGGCGAGCGUUGUCCGGAUUUACUGGGCGUAAAGCGCGCGUAGGCGGUCCGUUAAGUGCACAAGUGAAAGCUCCUGGCUCAACCAGGAAAUUGCUUUGCAUACUGGCGGGCUGGAGGGACGCAGAGGUCUGUGGAAUUCCUGGUGUAACGGUGAAAUGUGUUGAUAUCAGGAGGAACACCCAUGGCGAAGGCAG
rnacentral:rRNA from 1 species